rnacentral:rRNA from 1 species
ACAUAAGUAACGAUAAAGCGGGUGAAAAGCCCGCUCGCCGGAAGACCAAGGGUUCCUGUCCAACGUUAAUCGGGGCAGGGUGAGUCGACCCCUAAGGCGAGGCCGAAAGGCGUAGUCGAUGGGAAACGGGUUAAUAUUCCCGUACUUGGUGUUACUGCGAAGGGGGGACGGAGAAGGCUAUGUUGGCCGGGCGACGGUUGUCCCGGUUUAAGCGUGUAGGUGUGUGUUCCAGGUAAAUCCGGUUCACUUUAACACUGAGGCGUGACGACGAGGCACUACGGUGCUGAAGCAACAAAUGCCCUGCUUCCAGGAAAAGCCUCUAAGCAUCAGGUAACAUCAAAUCGUACCCCAAACCGACACAGGUGGUCAGGUAGAGAAUACCAAGGCGCUUGAGAGAACUCGGGUGAAGGAACUAGGCAAAAUGGUGCCGUAACUUCGGGAGAAGGCACGCUGACACGUAGGUGAAGUGAUUUACUCAUGGAGCUGAAGUCAGUCGAAGAUACCAGCUGGCUGCAACUGUUUAUUAAAAACACAGCACUGUGCAAACACGAAAGUGGACGUAUACGGUGUGACGCCUGCCCGGUGCCGGAAGGUUAAUUGAUGGGG